CUCACCUUCUAAAGAACCGUAAUGCCAUUAAUUUGGUGUCACGGGGAAUCAGGACUGUUACCUUGAAAAAAUUAGAGUGUUUAAAGCAGGCUAACGCUUGAAUACAUUAGCAUGGAAUAAUGAAAUAGGACGUUCGAUCUUAUUUUGUUGGUUUCUAGGAUUGACGUAAUGAUUAAUAGGGAUAGUUGGGGGCAUUAGUAUUCAAUUGUCGGAGGUGAAAUUCUUGGAUUUAUUGAAGACUAACUUCUGCGAAAGCAUUUGCCAAGGAUGUUUUCAUUAAUCAAGAACGAAAGUUAGGGGAUCGAAGACGAUCAGAUACCGUCGUAGUCUUAACCAUAAACUAUGCCGACUAGGGAUCGGACGAUGUUAAAUUUUAUUGACUCGUUCGGCGCCUUAGGGAAAC
rnacentral:rRNA from 2 species